GGGAAUUUUACUAGGUCAGGACAAUGUAAGGAUUGACAGAUUGAGAGCUCUUUCUCGAUCCAUUGUGUGGUGGUGCAUGGCCGCUCCUGGUUGGUGGAGUGAUUUGUCUGGUUGAUUCCGUUAACGAACGAGAUCUCGACCCUUAAAUAGGUGCCCAUGUCGUCUGUAGUCUCACCUCCGCCGGCUUGCUGGAUUGGAGUGGGACGAGACUGUGGGAAUACUUCUUAAGGGGACUGUGUGCGUCUAUAGCACGCGGAAGAGCGAGCCAAUAG
rnacentral:rRNA from 1 species